UACGGGGGGAGCAAGCGUUGUCCGGAGUUACUGGGCGUAAAGCGCGCGCAGGCGGCUCGUCAAGUCUGGCGUGAAAGCCCCCGGCUCAACCGGGGAGGGUCGUCGGAGACUGGCGAGCUUGAGGGCGGUAGGGGCUGGUGGAAUUCCCGGUGUAGUGGUGAAAUGCGUAGAGAUCGGGAGGAACACCCGUGGCGAAGGCGGCCAGCUGGGCCGUCCCUGACGCUGAGGCGCGAAGGCGUGGGGAGCGAACGGG
rnacentral:rRNA from 1 species